AAACCGUUCAGGGGUAAACCUGAGAAACCCAAAAGGUCGAAUGGGGAGAUUCAUCGUCGACGGCGCUGGCUACCGUUGGUGCGCGAUGCUCCGGGUGGGCCCUUGCGGUUCCAUUAGCGUGUGGCACACCACCUUCGGAUCGAACGUUCCGGCGUCGUAGUCGUGCACUUCUCCCCUAGUAGGACGUCGCGACCCGUUGUGUGUCGGUCUACGGCCCGAGUGGGCGCCUGUCGCGUCGUUUCGGCGCACGCGGCAGACCCUCGGUCGCCCGGCCGGCUGCACGACGGUACACUCACGGUAUCGGGCCGCAACCAGUCCAUUCUCGAAUGUGUGUGCGUCCAACCCGCCGCAAGUUCGGUCAGUUCUUACCCGGAGGUACGGACCCUGUGCCGUCCCCGGGCCUGGCCAGCUGUUAGCAGGCGGUGUCCUCGGACUGGCCAAAUCUCAGAUUACCGGUCGGCGACGCUAUUGCUUUGGGUACUCUCAGGACCCGUCUUGAAACACGGACCAAGGAGUCUAACAUGUGCGCGAGUCAUUGGGAUGCAUAAACCUAAAGGCGAAAUGAAAGUGAAAGUCGGCCUUCGCGCCGAUCGAGGGAGGAUGGGCCGCGUAACCAUGCGGCCUCGCACUCCCGGGGCGUCUCGUUCUCAUUGCGAGAAGAGGCGCACCUAGAGCGUACACGUUGGGACCCGAAAGAUGGUGAACUAUGCCUGGUCAGGACGAAGUCAGGGGAAACCCUGAUGGAGGUCCGUAGCGAUUCUGACGUGCAAAUCGAUCGUCGGAACUGGGUAUAGGGGCGAAAGACUAAUCGAA
rnacentral:rRNA from 8 species